ACUCGGCUCCGUCAGACUUCCGGGAAAGGGGAGGCUUUUCUUCUCACAAAUCCAGCAGACUCCUUUGAUGCUCUUUGGUUUUACAGUGGAAAACUACAAUUAAAAAACAGCCAUGAAAAUAAAUGAGAUUAGAACCUGCCGGCUUCACUUCCUGGAGGCUUUUUGUUGGUUCUUGAAACUAGGACUCUUUGCGGGUCAUCCUUAUGUGGACUAUUUAGAAGCACAGCUGAAGAGACUUCCAAAUGAAUAAAUAUCUCCUGCUGUUUAAAGCGCCAACCUUCCAACUGAUUAAGAAACUGCCCAGGCAGGUCUUCUGAGUCACCGUGUGAUUCUGGACAAGCUGCUUGACCUCUCUCCAGGCUUAAGUGAAGUUAAUGUUUUUCCUCCCACCAACUCAUGACGCUGCCUUGGGGAUGGAAAAAACAAAUGUUGCAAAGUCCAGUGCAGAUUUUUAAAAUGCCACAGGAAAAAUUAGGUAAAAAAAAAAAA